rfam:Ictidomys tridecemlineatus contig029742, whole genome shotgun sequence.
UCCAUAUCUUAACAGCUUUCAAGUGCUUUUGCAGUUUUCAGGAGCACAAGAUAGUUU